rnacentral:sRNA from 1 species
GGCAGCCAGGACUGAGGCAGGCUGCGGCUCCUUGGAGUCCCCCGCUCUGCCUGACUCUGACCCGGGGCCCCGCAGGUCCAGCAGGUGCAGGACGACGGCCACCGGCUCCAGAAGGCCUACGCUGGAGACAAGGCUGAGGAGAUCGGCCGCCACAUGCAGGCUGUGGCUGAGGCCUGGGCUCAGCUUCAGGGAAGCUCUGCCGCCCGCCGGCAGCUGCUGCUGGACACCACGGACAAGUUCCGCUUCUUCAAGGCUGUCCGGGAACUGAUGCUCUGGAUGGAUGAGGUCAACCUGCAGAUGGAUGCCCAGGAACGUCCCCGGGAUGUGUCCUCCGCGGAUCUAGUCAUCAAGAACCAGCAAGGCAUCAAGGCAGAGAUAGAGGCCCGGGCAGACCGCUUCUCCUCGUGCGUCGACAUGGGGAAGGAGCUGCUGGCCAGGAGCCACUAUGCAGCCGAGGAGAUCUCAGAGAAGAUGUCUCAGCUGCAGGCACGGCGCCAGGAGACAGCUGAAAAGUGGCAGGAGAAGAUGGACUGGCUUCAGCUGGUUUUGGAGGUGCUCGUGUUUGGAAGAGAU